AUCAGUUCAGUUUUUUAUCUUUAGAUGAGAAUUAUUCUAGUUUUGCUAUUCAGAUUCUGAUUUAAUUUCAAUUUGUUGUGAAAGAUCAUCUGGUCGGUGACAGUUCCACUAGUUGGACACAUUCCUAGGAAACAUGUCUGCCUGCCCUGUUCAAGACCAGGGUGCCCUUUCUUGUACUAGCAGCUCAAAUCUGCUGUUUGAUGAGAAGUCUGCACCUAGUUCUCCUAAAAUAGCUGAAGUGUGCUUUGGAGAUAGAAGUGAUGAUAUGAAAUCCUCCAUGUGAGAUAGUCUGGAUGGCGAGGAGGAGGAAAUCUGGAACUCCUCACACCUGAACAUAGACGAGAAAAUACGCUUGGUGGACCUUCUGCACUGCAAGACUCGCCAGAUGAAGAUGAAUGCAGAUCUGCAGAAUGCUCUUUACGCUCAUGAGGACUCAAAUGCUAAUCUGGAAUUGGAAAA